CCCACAGUUCAGACGAAAAAUGGCGGGGUCUUCUGAAUUGUUGGUCCUUGACCCCCCAUGGGACAAGGAGCUCGCGGCAGGGACAGAGAGCCAGGCCUUGGUCUCCGCCACUCCCCGAGAGGACUUUCGGGUGCGCUGCACCUCGAAGCGGGCUGUGACCGAAAUGCUACAACUGUGCGGCCGCUUCGUGCAAAAGCUCGGGGACGCUCUGCCGGAGGAGAUUCGGGAGCCCGCUCUGCGAGAUGCGCAGUGGACUUUUGAAUCAGCUGUGCAAGAGAAUAUCAGCAUUAAUGGGCAAGCAUGGCAGGAAGCUUCAGAUAAUUGUUUUAUGGAUUCUGACAUCAAAGUACUUGAAGAUCAGUUUGAUGAAAUCAUAGUAGAUAUAGCCACAAAACGUAAGCAGUAUCCCAGAAAGAUCCUGGAGUGUGUCAUCAAAACCAUAAAAGCAAAACAAGAAAUUCUGGUAAGAUGAUUUGCCUUUAAAAUGUUAUUGUAUGUUUUACCACAAUAAAAACAUUAAAAUAUAAGGCUCUAUGUGGAGAUAAGUGACAUUUUGUUGUCUUUUUCUUUCCUGCUUCAACGAGUAUUGUUUGUCUCUUGUAAGACUUUACUCUUCUAAGUUGUACUAUGACAUAGUAUAGUCAUACUAUACUGUGUUUUGAACACACUGGUUCAAAAAUGAAAA
rnacentral:sRNA from 1 species